UACGUAGGGUGCGAGCGUUAAUCGGAAUUACUGGGCGUAAAGCGUGCGCAGGCGGUCUGUUAAGACAGAUGUGAAAUCCCCGGGCUUAACCUGGGAACUGCAUUUGUGACUGGCAGGCUAGAGUAUGGCAGAGGGGGGGUAGAAUUCCACGUGUAGCAGUGAAAUGCGUAGAGAUGUGGAGGAAUACCGAUGGCGAAGGCAGCCCCCUGGGCCAAUACUGACGCCUCAUGCAGCGAAAGCGUGGGGAGCAAACAGG
rnacentral:rRNA from 1 species